UACAGAGGGGGCAAGCGUUGUUCGGAAUUACUGGGCGUAAAGGGCGCGUAGGCGGCCCGCUAAGUCGAACGUGAAAUCCCCGAGCUCAACUCGGGAACUGCGUCCGAUACUGCCGGGCUUGAGGCAGGGAGAGGGAUGCGGAAUUCCCGGUGUAGUGGUGAAAUGCGUAGAUAUCGGGAGGAACACCAGUGGCGAAGGCGGCAUCCUGGCCCUGUCCUGACGCUCAGGGGCGAAAGCGUGGGGAGCAAACCGG
rnacentral:rRNA from 1 species